rnacentral:rRNA from 1 species
CCUACGGGAGGCAGCAGUGAGGAAUAUUGGUCAAUGGGCGGGAGCCUGAACCAGCCAAGCCGCGUGAAGGAAGAAGGCGCCAGGCGUCGUAAACUUCUUUUGUCGGGGAACAAAGGGCGCCACGCGUGGCUUUGUGAGUGUACCCGAAGAAAAAGCAUCGGCUAACUCCGUGCCAGCAGCCGCGGUAAUACGGAGGAUGCGAGCGUUAUCCGGAUUUAUUGGGUUUAAAGGGUGCGUAGGGGGGCUGUAAAGUCAGUUGUGAAAGGGGGCGGCUCAACCCGGGCAGGGCGAUUGAUACGGGCAGGCUGGAGAAGAGUUGAGGUAGGCGGAAGGCGGGGUGUAGGGGGGAAAUGCGGAGAUAGCACGAAGAACCCCGAUUGGGAAGGGAGCUGA